UCAGUGGUAAAGUAGCACCAUGCGAUGACUUCAGUGGAAUGAUUCUAGCCUUCGUCCAGACAACUAUGGAAGGCUCAGCCAGCUGUAAAUGGGUACCUGUUCACUGGAGCUGCAGAGUCCAUGGUGGCCAGAUGUGCUGCUGCUAGCCACAUCAUUCCUUACGUUUCACUAAAUUUUGAGUGGGACAGAGUAUACAGCAGGGGUGGCCAGAGUUACUCACCCUGGGAGCCACAUCCGAUCCGCCACUGAAGUUCAAGAGUCAGAGAUCGGGGAGGGAGAGGGGUGCUGAGCUACCUGGAGUGGAGAUGACUACCCCUCCACACACCACCGAGCUGCUUCAGCUUUUCCCAUGGGGAGCAUGCCCCAGGGUAAGCAGCGCGGCUGCAGCCCCCACCCUGGCAGCCUGGCACCUGAGCCAGCAGUCCCAAGGGAAAGAAAGAGGGAUGAGGGUGCACUUGGGGUGCUCUCCCCGUGGGGAAAGCCAGAGAGGUGGGAGGUGUCGCACUGUGCUGACCUUUGGAGCUGCCUCGGGCAGAAGUUAGUGGCACUUCAGCCAAUUUCUGCAGAGCCAUGAGUACUGUGUCAGCAAGUCUCAUGUGGCUCAUGAGCUGUGGUUUGGCCACCAUGGGUAUAGAGCAUAGUACUUUCAUUCUCUCUCUCAGUAGAUAGGUGUACACAUCACACAAUUGUCCUAUUACAAUUGAUAACCAGGCUUCAAUCCCAGAGAAACCAAAUUUAAUCUAUCUCUAGGUCAGGUCUGAGGUACAUCAACAUGAAAGAAGACCAUGGAAAAGACUGUGUCCUCAUGUUAGACCUUUCAUGUCACUACAGGAUUUCAAUCGCCAAAGAAUUUUCAAAACAUUACACUGAAUUCUCACAUUAACUUAGAAAAUUAAAACACCAAGAAACAAGAAGGACCUAGAAAACAAUAAAAUAAAAUAAUUUCAGAGUUUAA